rnacentral:lncRNA from 1 species
CUUGCCCCACAAGUCCAGGGUCGAUUGUCUUACAACAUUACUACCGAGUCUAACUUUAUUACAUAAAGGGAAGUCUGAUUUCAGACUAUUAUAAUAACUAUAGCUCGUACUACCAAGCGGCGUAGUCUAGCAGUCUCAGCUUGGGUGAUGCGCCUUUUCCCUGCCUUUGCCAAAAACCCAUUUCCGGGCGGUUCUCUUGAGUUGUGCCAUACUCACUAUUUACUGCUCAAAA